rnacentral:ncRNA from 1 species
GGGAGCCAUGUGAGUCGAGAGGUUCAUGCAUGGUUCUGCGAGGGGCUAGUGGGGAAGAUCCACUGGUCUACUCACC